rnacentral:rRNA from 1 species
AACGAACGCUGGCGGCAGGCCUAACACAUGCAAGUCGAGCGAGGACUUCGGUCCUAGCGGCGGACGGGUGAGUAACGCGUGGGAACGUGCCCUUUGCUUCGGAAUAGCCCUGGGAAACUGGGAGUAAUACCGGAUGAGCCCUUUGGGGGAAAGAUUUAUCGGCGAAGGAUCGGCCCGCGUUGGAUUAGGUAGUUGGUGGGGUAAUGGCCUACCAAGCCGACGAUCCAUAGCUGGUUUGAGAGGAUGAUCAGCCACACUGGAACUGAGACACGGCCCAGACUCCUACGGGAGGCAGCAGUGGGGAAUCUUAGACAAUGGGGGAAACCCUGAUCUAGCCAUGCCGCGUGAGCGAUGAAGGCCUUAGGGUUGUAAAGCUCUUUCAGCUGGGAAGAUAAUGACGGUACCAGCAGAAGAAGCCCCGGCUAACUCCGUG